rnacentral:rRNA from 1 species
GCAAGUCGAGCGGUAACAUUUCUAGCUUGCUAGAAGAUGACGACCGGCGGACGGGUGAGUAAUGCUUGGGAAUAUGCCUUAGGGUGGGGGACAACAGUUGGAAACGACUGCUAAUACCGCAUAACGUCUACGGACCAAAGGGGGGGAUCUUCGGACCUCUCGCCAUAUGAUUAGCCCAAGUGGGAUUAGCUAGUUGGUGAGGUAAUGGCUCACCAAGGCGACGAUCCCUAGCUGGUUUGAGAGGAUGAUC